ACUCCUACGGGAGGCAGCAGUGGGGAAUAUUGCACAAUGGGGGAAACCCUGAUGCAGCCAUGCCGCGUGUGUGAAGAAGGCCUUCGGGUUGUAAAGCACUUUCAGUAGGGAGGAAGGUAGUGUAGUUAACACCUGCACUAUUUGACGUUACCUACAGAAGAAGCACCGGCUAACUCCGUGCCAGCAGCCGCGGUAAUACGGAGGGUGCGAGCGUUAAUCGGAAUUACUGGGCGUAAAGCGUGCGCAGGCGGUCUGUUAAGCGAGAUGUGAAAGCCCCGGGCUCAACCUGGGAACUGCAUUGGUGACUGGCAGGCUAGAGUAUGGCAGAGGGGGUGAGAAUUCCACGUGUAGCAGUGAAAUGCGUAGAGAUGUGGAGGAAUACCGAUGGCGAAGGCAGCCCCUGGCC
rnacentral:rRNA from 1 species